rnacentral:misc_RNA from 1 species
GCAAACUUGGUCAUUUAGAGGAAGUAAAAGUCGUAACAAGGUUUCCGUAGGUAUGUAACUAACCCACUUAUUUAUCCUUUUUAUGCUUUGAAUAAUGUGCUGACUUUUUCUCUUUUAGGUGAACCUGCGGAAGGAUCAUUACAGAGUGUUCUACCCCCUUGUAAAAUGGUGGGUUUAACCUCCCGUCCUUUGCCAGACCCCCCCUUUCGUUGGGGGGCCUUUCAAACCUUUCUGCUUCGGCGGGGUUACCCGUCGGAACACCCUCAAAAAUUCUUGGUCAAAACUGUUCGGUCCGAGAAACUUAUGAAAAUUGAAGCAAAACUUUCAACAACGGAUCUCUUGGUUCUGGCAUCGAUGAAGAACGCAGC